rfam:Oryza sativa Japonica Group DNA, chromosome 3, cultivar: Nipponbare, complete sequence.
UUUAAAUGCAGCCAUGAGUUUCUGUGUCUAACUUUGAUCGUCCAUCUUAUUUUAAUUUUUUUAUGAUUAGUAUUUUUAUUGUUAUUAGAUGAUAAAACAUGAACGGUACUUUAUGUGUGGUUUAUGUUUUUUAUUUUUUAAAAAAGAAUAAAUAAAACGAACCAUUAAAGUUGGACACGAAAUCCUGGCUGCGCUUAAA